AGUCAAUCCACCUUUUCUUUCCUUGUUUGUUUAACACAGGUGAUGGGGGGUGUUUAUGAAUGAUCAUUCCCAUCUUUCAAUGUUCUCAAUCUAAAAUUUGCUAAGUUAGCAUUGGAGAAACUAACAGCUAACAGGGGGAAAUUAAAAGACAAGGAAAAAAAAUAAACAAAAUGGGACGUGAUUGUCUCAAAUUGAAGCUAUGAUGGGUGUAACAGUCCUGCAAUAUACACCUUUGAGCUUGUGUAAGACUUUGGAUUCCAUAAGCAAAAAUGCCAGAAUGUAGAGUGGAUUGAUAUACUGUUAUGUUUUGUGAUUACAGUACAAGAUCGCUUGCCUUUGUUGGUGGUAAACUGGUAGGAUAUAUUGGUUUAUGUUAAUCCAAGUCUUGUGAAUUGUUGAUUUUUUUGCUGAUUUUGACCAUCAAUUGCUAAGGUUAUUAACAUCUUUAUAAUGGAAGCUACUAUCUAAUGUCCAGGAAAUGUAUAUGGACAUUUGUCUUUUGUGG
rnacentral:misc_RNA from 1 species